rnacentral:ncRNA from 1 species
AGGGAGGUAUCCGAAAAUCCUUAACAGAGUAGGAU